rnacentral:rRNA from 1 species
UACGGAGGGUGCAAGCGUUAUCCGGAUUCACUGGGUUUAAAGGGUGCGUAGGAGGGCAGGUAAGUCAGUGGUGAAAUCUCCAAGCUUAACUUGGAAACUGCCGUUGAUACUAUCUGUCUUGAAUACCGUGGAGGUGAGCGGAAUAUGUCAUGUAGCGGUGAAAUGCUUAGAUAUGACAUAGAACACCAAUUGCGAAGGCAGCUCGCUACACGAAUAUUGACUCUGAGGGACGAAAGCUAGGGGAGCGAAUGGG